rnacentral:lncRNA from 1 species
AAGAAGAGAACAACCUCUCUGGGAGCAACAAGAAACUCGUUGAAAAAUCUCCGUUCUGGGAAAUCAUUCUCAAGCAAGACUCUAUGGAUGAGGUGAGCCGAUAUUCUCAAGCAUUGUCUUAUUUUUAGAAGGAGGGAACCUAAUUUUAGGGCUUGGACUACUACGAACUCUUUUGUUACAGUGUGGCUUAGACUUCCUGAAUAUAGGGAUUCUUAAGAAUAUGGGUAGAUGUGUUGGACCUCUUCUUCGUGUGGAUGACCGAACAUUAAUGGGUGUGAGGAGUAGAUAUGCUUGUAUGUGGAUUCAAGUCAAUCUAAACAACCCUCUACCUCGUUUGUUAAUGUUGAAGGUUUUAGACAACCCAUUAUUUAUGAGGGUCUCAAUUCAAUUUGUUUUAAAUAUGGGAAUUUAGACCAUAUCUCGCCUGAUUGCCCUUCUAUUCAGGAACAAGGUUCUUCCUCCAUUUCCUCAAAGGACCAUUCUUCUCUUGAGAGCCCUCCAGCUGAAGAACAAGGAUACGGUCCUUGGAUGCUUGUUCAAAGGAAAUCUCAUGCAUGCCGCGGGAAAGACGAAACAAACCCUUCAAAACUUGUCCCCUGUUAGUAAAUCAGCUUUCGACACAAGUCCUCCAAAGAUCCAUUCUCCCAAAAGUAAAAAGUUAGACAAGAUAUCCUAUUGUACCCAACUCCUCGUUGCUUGCUAAAGAGAAUGCUAAACCCUCUUGAUCCACCUGUAAAAUGGAUAUCUCUCUCUUACCCUCUCCCCAGUUGAAGGUAGGAAAUGUCUUAUCUUAAAUGAUCAAUCUAAUACUUACUUUUUAACGCUGAGCCACAACCCUCCCUUUCCCUCCAGAAUCUGCCCGAUGUGAUGCUUAGAAAGAUUGUUAAUAGUGAAGGGAUAGUUUCUUCCGCUCUUUCUCCAGGAGUUAAAGUUCAAGGGCAUUUUAGCUUUUCCUUCCCUCAAGUGAUCUUAGAAGAAACAAUCAACCCAGUAGGAAAUUUCGAGGACUCUUGCCUUGAUUUUGCCAGAGCCAAGAUCAACUCAAACUUCCGCCCUAGCUUUUCAGGAUAUCAGUUUACGAGCUCAACAUCCAACCUCUAGAAAAUCCAGAUUCCAGAGAAUCAACUCCUCAUUUUUCUAGUCUCGGUUGUCAUGAAUAUCCAUUACCUGAUUUUCUUCACGCACCUUCUGGUGAGAGAAAACCAUCUGCUAAUUUACAAGGUGGAACUGUUGACUAUACUGAAGGAAAUUACGGAAGAUGACCACUUUUGUUUCGAGACGACUGGUAUUCAACAUUUGUAUCAUCUUAUGUCAAUCCUCUUUUGGAACUACAAAAGUGAUCGUCAUCGCAAAUUUCUUAUCACAGUCAAUGAUCUGAUUAGGGUUCAACAACUAGACAUUUUGGUCAUUAUUAAAACGAA